GUGGGGAAUCUUCCGCAAUGGACGAAAGUCUGACGGAGCAACGCCGCGUGAGUGAAGAAGGUUUUCGGAUCGUAAAGCUCUUUCGUUAGGGACGAACGUGCUCUUUGUGAAUAAUGAGGAGUAAUGACGGUACCUAAAUAAGAAGCCACGGCUAACUACGUGCCAGCAGCCGCGGUAAUACGUAGGUGGCAAGCGUUGUCCGGAAUUAUUGGUCGUAAAGCGCGCGCAGGCGGGAUAUCAAGUCUGUCUUAAAAGUGCGAGGCUCAACCUCGUGAGGGGACAGAAACUGGUAUUCUUGAGUGUCGGAGAGGAAAGUGGAAUUCCAAGUGUAGCGGUGAAAUGCGUAGAGAUUUGGAAGAACACCAGUGGCGAAGGCGACUUUCUGGACGAUGUCUGACGCUGAGGCGCGAAAGCUAGGGGAGCGAACGGGAUUAGAUACCCUAGUAGUCC
rnacentral:rRNA from 1 species